UACGAGGGGGGCGAGCGUUGUUCGGAAUUAUUGGGCGUAAAGAGCGUGUAGGCGGUUAGGUAGGUCCGUUGUGAAAACUCGAGGCUCAACCUCGAGACGCCGAUGGAAACCAUCUGACUAGAGUCCGGAAGAGGAGAGUGGAAUUCCUGGUGUAGCGGUGAAAUGCGCAGAUAUCAGGAAGAACACCCGUGGCUAAGGCGGCUCUCUAGUACGUGACUGACGCUGAGACGCGAAAGCGUGGGGAGCGAACAGG
rnacentral:rRNA from 1 species